rnacentral:misc_RNA from 1 species
CUUGAGCAGGUUAAGAAAAACAUUGAGGACAAGUCUCACCAACAGAUAGAUGCUCGUUCAAAGGCCAGAUUUGACGGAGCAGCACCAGAGCCUCGAAAGGGAAUAAGAAGCGGUCAUGUACCUGGCAGCAAGUGCAUUCCUUUUCCUCAUAUGUUAGAUGCUUCACAGACACUCUUACCAGCAGAUGAACUUAAGAAACAGUUUGAUCAAGAAGGCAUCUCUCUGGAAAGCCCUGUUGUUACUUCUUGUGGGACUGGUGUAACUGCUUGCAUUCUCGCUUUGGGUCUGCAUCGACUUGGGAACCGAGAUGUUGCAGUCUAUGAUGGAUCAUGGACUGAAUGGGGAGCUCAUACUGAUACACCUAUUACCUCUUCAUAAAUCUGGAAGCUUGGCAGCAAUAUGAUGGAUCAUGGACUUAAUGGCAUGAGGCUACGACUCUCUGAUUGUGACAAAAGAGUUUGUAUCUAAAACACUUGGAUGACAAGAUUGCCAAAUUUUCAAAUCAUUUUUGAGUUGCACUUUCUGUCAUGUGAAAAUUUGAUCAUCAUAACCCCAUGUAUCAGAAAACA